CAGCAGCCGCGGUAAUACGUAGGGCGCGAGCGUUGUCCGGAUUUAUUGGGCGUAAAGAGCUCGUAGGCGGCUUGUCGCGUCGAAUGUGAAAACCCGAGGCUCAACUUCGGGCUUGCAUUCGAUACGGGCAGGCUAGAGUUCGGUAGGGGAGACUGGAAUUCCUGGUGUAGCGGUGAAAUGCGCAGAUAUCAGGAGGAACACCGGUGGCGAAGGCGGAUCUCUGGGCCAUUACUGACGCUGAGGAGCGAAAGCGUGGGGAGCGAACAGGAUUAGAUACCCUGGUAGUCCACGCCGUAAACGGUGGGAACUAGGUGUUGGCGACAUUCCACGUCGUCGGUGCCGCAGCUAACGCAUUAAGUUCCCCCCUGGGAGUACGGC
rnacentral:rRNA from 1 species